rnacentral:lncRNA from 1 species
GUUGUUAGGUCGUUAGUUGCAUGCAUGCAUUCGUUUGAUUAGUUGUAGGUUAUGAGUUGUUGUGAAGCAUGAAGAUUUGAGUGUAACUCUCUCAUGUAGUUCAUAUGCUCAUGCAUUGUUGUGUAGUUUGGGGUUGCAAAGAGAUUUGAGUGAGACUCUCUCUUUUGCCGGGUAGUUGUAGUGUGUCGCUCGCUUUAGUUGUUUUAGGUUAAGUCUAGGCUUAGGGUUGUAUUGAGGUUUGUGGCUUUGCCCCCUCAUGCUAGUGUGUUUGUUUUUUGUCUAGGCUAGGGCGAGUGUGAGAUGUGUUGUCCAUUUAGUCUAGUUGUGCGUGGAGGUUAGAGGUGGAGCUCCCUCACGCUUGAUUAUUGUUCUGAUGUGUUGUGUUGCAUCUAGACUAAAGUGCAUGGCUGUCUUAAAGUUAGAUUGGGAGAUACCCAAUUCUCCAGUGGUGGAGUGACCUUCUCUCCAUGGCUUGUCACGUGAAGUGGGUCGCGCCCAUGGACAAGCGCUGCAUGACGAUGCGGCCCGAGUUAGAUUGGGAGAUGCCCAAUUCUCGGAAAUGAUGUUUUCCGAUCAUGUGACUUCUGUGUUUGUGGUCGGGAGUGUUCAGUUGGGAGAUUUAGGGCUCUGUGUUGUGAGGGAUCCCGGGAUGUGUUGCGUGUGGCGCCAUCCUUUGAGUGUUUUUCUUUGUAGUGUUUGAGUCUAGGAUUGAGUCUAGAUCGAGUCUUAGUUUUGUAGUUAAGUCUCGGUGGGAGACUUGGGUGUAGAGUAGUUGC